ACUCCUACGGGAGGCAGCAGUGGGGAAUAUUGGACAAUGGGCGCAAGCCUGAUCCAGCCAUGCCGCGUGGGUGACGAAGGCCUUCGGGUUGUAAAGCCCUGUGGGGUAGAACGAACUGGCAUCGGGCUAAUAUCCCGGUGUCUUGACGGUACUGCCUUAGCAAGCAUCGGCUAACUCUGUGCCAGCAGCCGCGGUAAU
rnacentral:rRNA from 1 species